AGGAGUACGAUGUGCUAGCCCUAGCACUGAAUGGAAAGAUGAGAGUGCGGAGGCUCCACCUUGGCUGCAAUGAGGGCCAAGAUAACUGAUGACAGUAAAGAGAACACCACCAGGGUAUCAGUGCGCAAUGCAUCGUCUCUAUGAGUUAGCAAUGCUUGGGAGUGCCUCUAUGAUUAACAUAUACUAGUGUGUGCCUGUAGCGUGGGUUUGUGAGCCGCGCUACUACUACUUCACAGUAGCAUUGGGUAGGGAUCUACCUAUAAGGUAUUUCCUCGUAGUGUUUUGCAGUGAGCUGCUUAUUUUUUACUCAGCAAACCUUUUGCCGAGUAGCUGACAAAUAACACUCAGCUUAUGUCGUUAUGCCUACCAGGAGUACGCCGAGUCCUUUUUGUCGAGUGUAACACCCGAUAACUUUUUGCCAAGGUUGAAUUUAGCCUUCAC
rnacentral:lncRNA from 1 species